rnacentral:rRNA from 1 species
CUUAUAUUCUGUAGCAAGGUUAACCGAAUAGGGGAGCCGAAGGGAAACCGAGUCUUAACUGGGCGUUAAGUUGCAGGGUAUAGACCCGAAACCCGGUGAUCUAGCCAUGGGCAGGUUGAAGGUUGGGUAACACUAACUGGAGGACCGAACCGACUAAUGUUGAAAAAUUAGCGGAUGACUUGUGGCUGGGGGUGAAAGGCCAAUCAAACCGGGAGAUAGCUGGUUCUCCCCGAAAGCUAUUUAGGUAGCGCCUCGUGAAUUCAUCUCCGGGGGUAGAGCACUGUUUCGGCAAGGGGGUCAUCCCGACUUACCAACCCGAUGCAAACUGCGAAUACCGGAGAAUGUUAUCACGGGAGACACACGGCGGGUGCUAACGUCCGUCGUGAAGAGGGAAACAACCCAGACCGCCAGCUAAGGUCCCAAAGUCAUGGUUAAGUGGGAAACGAUGUGGGAAGGCCCAGACAGCCAGGAUGUUGGCUUAGAAGCAGCCAUCAUUUAAAGAAAGCGUAAUAGCUCACUGGUCGAGUCGGCCUGCGCGGAAGAUGUAACGGGGCUAAACCAUGCACCGAAGCUGCGGCAGCGACACUGUGUGUUGUUGGGUAGGGGAGCGUUCUGUAAGCCUGUGAAGGUGUACUGUAAGGUAUGCUGGAGGUAUCAGAAGUGCGAAUGCUGACAUAAGUAACGAUAAAGCGGGUGAAAAGCCCGCUCGCCGGAAGACCAAGGGUUCCUGUCCAACGUUAAUCGGGGCAGGGUGAGUCGACCCCUAAGGCGAGGCCGAAAGGCGUAGUCGAUGGGAAACAGGUUAAUAUUCCUGUACUUGGUGUUACUGCGAAGGGGGGACGGAGAAGGCUAUGUUGGCCGGGCGACGGUUGUCCCGGUUUAAGCGUGUAGGCUGGUUUUCCAGGCAAAUCCGGAAAAUCAAGGCUGAGGCGUGAUGACGAGGCACUACGGUGCUGAAGCAACAAAUGCCCUGCUUCCAGGAAAAGCCUCUAAGCAUCAGGUAACAUCAAAUCGUACCCCAAACCGACACAGGUGGUCAGGUAGAGAAUACCAAGGCGCUUGAGAGAACUCGGGUGAAGGAACUAGGCAAAAUGGUGCCGUAACUUCGGGAGAAGGCACGCUGAUAUGUAGGUGAAGUCCCUCGCGGAUGGAGCUGAAAUCAGUCGAAGAUACCAGCUGGCUGCAACUGUUUAUUAAAAACACAGCACUGUGCAAACACGAAAGUGGACGUAUACGGUGUGACGCCUGCCCGGUGCCGGAAGGUUAAUUGAUGGGGUCAGCGCAAGCGAAGCUCUUGAUCGAAGCCCCGGUAAACGGCGGCCGUAACUAUAACGGUCCUAAGGUAGCGAAAUUCCUUGUCGGGUAAGUUCCGACCUGCACGAAUGGCGUAAUGAUGGCCAGGCUGUCUCCACCCGAGACUCAGUGAAAUUGAACUCGCUGUGAAGAUGCAGUGUACCCGCGGCAAGACGGAAAGACCCCGUGAACCUUUACUAUAGCUUGACACUGAACAUUGAGCCUUGAUGUGUAGGAUAGGUGGGAGGCUUUGAAGUGUGGACGCCAGUCUGCAUGGAGCCGACCUUGAAAUACCACCCUUUAAUGUUUGAUGUUCUAACGUGGACCCGUGAUCCGGGUUGCGGACAGUGUCUGGUGGGUAGUUUGACUGGGGCGGUCUCCUCCUAAAGAGUAACGGAGGAGCACGAAGGUUGGCUAAUCCUGGUCGGACAUCAGGAGGUUAGUGCAAUGGCAUAAGCCAGCUUGACUGCGAGCGUGACGGCGCGAGCAGGUGCGAAAGCAGGUCAUAGUGAUCCGGUGGUUCUGAAUGGAAGGGCCAUCGCUCAACGGAUAAAAGGUACUCCGGGGAUAACAGGCUGAUACCGCCCAAGAGUUCAUAUCGACGGCGGUGUUUGGCACCUCGAUGUCGGCUCAUCACAUCCUGGGGCUGAAGUAGGUCCCAAGGGUAUGGCUGUUCGCCAUUUAAAGUGGUACGCGAGCUGGGUUUAGAACGUCGUGAGACAGUUCGGUCCCUAUCUGCCGUGGGCGCUGGAGAACUGAGGGGGGCUGCUCCUAGUACGAGAGGACCGGAGUGGACGCAUCACUGGUGUUCGGGUUGUCAUGCCAAUGGCACUGCCCGGUAGCUAAAUGCGGAAGAGAUAAGUGCUGAAAGCAUCUAAGCACGAAACUUGCCCCGAGAUGAG